UUCCGGUUGAUCCUGCCGGACCUGACUGCUAUCGGAUUGAUACUAAGCCAUGCGAGUCUUUGUAGUAAUACAAGGCAUACGGCUCAGUAACGCGUAGUCAACCUACCCUAUGGACGGGAAUAAUCUCGGGAAACUGAGCAUAAUACCCGGCGUACCACCAUUCCUGGAAUGGUUGGUGGUUAAAAUGAUUCGUCGCCGUAGGAUGGGACUGCGACCUAUCAGCUUGUUGGUGAGGUAAAGGCCCACCAAGGCGAUUACAGGUACGGGCUCUGAGAGGAGAAGCCCGGAGAUGGGUACUGAGACACGGACCCAGGCCCUAUGGGGCGCAGCAGGCGAGAAAACUUUGCAAUGUGUGAAAGCACGACAAGGUUAAUCCGAGUGAUUUCUGCUAAAGGAAUCUUUUGCCAGUUCUAAAAAUACUAGUGAAUAAGGGGUGGGCAAGUUCUGGUGUCAGCCGCCGCGGUAAAACCAGCACCUCAAGUGGUCAGGAGGAUUAUUGGGCCUAAAGCAUCCGUAGCCGGCUCUGUAAGUUUUCGGUUAAAUCCAUGUGCUCAACAUAUGGGCUGCCGAAAAUACUGCAUAGCUAGGGAGUGGGAGAGGUAGACGGUACUCGAUAGGAAGGGGUAAAAUCCUUUGAUCUAUUGAUGACCACCUGUGGCGAAGGCGGUCUACCAGAACACGUUCGACGGUGAGGGAUGAAAGCUGGGGGAGCAAACCGGAUUAGAUACCCGGGUAGUCCCAGCUGUAAACGAUGCAGACUCGAUGAUGCAUUGGCAUAUAGCCAGUGCAGUGUCGCAGGGAAGCCGUUAAGUCUGCCGCCUGGGAAGUACGUACGCAAGUAUGAAACUUAAAGGAAUUGGCGGGGGAGCACCACAAGGGGUGAAGCCUGCGGUUCAAUUGGAUUCAACGCCGGG
rnacentral:rRNA from 1 species